UACGUAGGUCGCAAGCGUUGUCCGGAAUUAUUGGGCGUAAAGAGCUCGUAGGCGGCUUGUCACGUCGAUUGUGAAAGCCCGAGGCUUAACCUCGGGUCUGCAGUCGAUACGGGCUAGCUAGAGUGUGGUAGGGGAGAUCGGAAUUCCUGGUGUAGCGGUGAAAUGCGCAGAUAUCAGGAGGAACACCGGUGGCGAAGGCGGAUCUCUGGGCCAUUACUGACGCUGAGGAGCGAAAGCGUGGGGAGCGAACAGG
rnacentral:rRNA from 1 species